rnacentral:tRNA from 3 species
GGGAACGUAGUCUAGCAUGGUAUGAUUCGGGCUUUGGGUGCCUGAGGUCGCAGGUUCGAAUCCUGCCGUUCCCA